CCUGGGUUUAUAGAGAUUUAACAUAUAUGGGAAAGAUCACUGUCAUUAAAUCACUAGCUCUUCCUAUUCUAAUUCAAUCAUUGACAGUUUUGCCAAAUCCUCCGGAUGAUAAAAUAAAAGAAAUUCAAAAUAUUUUUUUUAGUUUCUUGUGGUCAGGAAAACCAGACAAGAUUAAAAGAAAAGUUAUGAUAGGGUUAUUUGAAAAUGGGGGGUUGAAAAUGCCAGAUAUAAGAUCUUUUUGUUAUUCAUUAAAGAUGACAUGGAUAAAUAAACUUUUAGACCCCUUGAAUAUAUCCCCAUGGAAAACAUUGUUAAUAGAUCAAUACAACAGAUUAGGAGCA
rnacentral:lncRNA from 1 species